rnacentral:rRNA from 1 species
GCAAGUCGAGGGGUAACAUUGUAGCUUGCUAUUAUUGAGACCGGCAAACGGGUGCGUAACACGUACGCAACCUACCCUAAAGUGGAGGAUAGCCUUUGGAAACGAAGAGUAAUACUCCAUAAUAUCAUAAUACGGCAUCGUAUAAUGAUUAAAGAAUUUCGCUUUAGGAUGGGCGUGCGCCUGAUUAGAUAGUUGGUGAGGUAACGGCUCACCAAGUCAACGAUCAGUAGCUGAUGUGAGAGCAUGAUC